rnacentral:rRNA from 1 species
AGUGAACGCUGGCGGUAGGCCUAACACAUGCAAGUCGAACGGCAGCACAGUAAGAGCUUGCUCUUACGGGUGGCGAGUGGCGGACGGGUGAGGAAUACAUCGGAAUCUACUUUUUCGUGGGGGAUAACGUAGGGAAACUUACGCUAAUACCGCAUACGACCUACGGGUGAAAGCAGGGGAUCUUCGGACCUUGCGCGAUUGAAUGAGACGAUGUCGGAUUAGCUAGUUGGCGGGGUAAAGGCCCACCAAGGCGACGAUCCGUAGCUGGUCUGAGAGGAUGAUCAGCCACACUGGAACUGAGACACGGUCCAGACUCCUACGGGAGGCAGCAGUGGGGAAUAUUGGACAAUGGGCGAAAGCCUGAUCCAGCCAUACCGCGUGGGUGAAGAAGGCCUUCGGGUUGUAAAGCCCUUUUGUUGGGAAAGAAAAGCAGCAGGUUAAUACCCCGCUGUUCUGACGGUACCCAAAGAAUAAGCACCGGCUAACUUCGUG